AGUUUGAUUCUGGCUCAGGACGAACGCUGGCGGCGUGCCUAAUACAUGCAAGUCGAGCGGACAGAUGGGAGCUUGCUCCCUGAUGUUAGCGGCGGACGGGUGAGUAACACGUGGGUAACCUGCCUGUAAGACUGGGAUAACUCCGGGAAACCGGGGCUAAUACCGGAUGGUUGUUUGAACCGCAUGGUUCAAACAUAAAAGGUGGCUUCGGCUACCACUUACAGAUGGACCCGCGGCGCAUUAGCUAGUUGGUGAGGUAACGGCUCACCAAGGCAACGAUGCGUAGCCGACCUGAGAGGGUGAUCGGCCACACUGGGACUGAGACACGGCCCAGACUCCUACGGGAGGCAGCAGUAGGGAAUCUUCCGCAAUGGACGAAAGUCUGACGGAGCAACGCCGCGUGAGUGAUGAAGGUUUUCGGAUCGUAAAGCUCUGUUGUUAGGGAAGAACAAGUACCGUUCGAAUAGGGCGGUACCUUGACGGUACCUAACCAGAAAGCCACGGCUAACUACGUGCCAGCAGCCGCGGUAAUACGUAGGUGGCAAGCGUUGUCCGGAAUUAUUGGGCGUAAAGGGCUCGCAGGCGGUUUCUUAAGUCUGAUGUGAAAGCCCCCGGCUCAACCGGGGAGGGUCAUUGGAAACUGGGGAACUUGAGUGCAGAAGAGGAGAGUGGAAUUCCACGUGUAGCGGUGAAAUGCGUAGAGAUGUGGAGGAACACCAGUGGCGAAGGCGACUCUCUGGUCUGUAACUGACGCUGAGAGCGAAAGCGGGGGGAGCGAACAGGAUUAGAUACCCUGGGUAGUCCA
rnacentral:rRNA from 1 species